UUACCUUUAGUUACGGCGAGUGAAGCGGUAAAAGCUCAAAUUUGAAAUCUGGUACUUUCAGUGCCCGAGUUGUAAUUUGUAGAAUUUGUCUUUGAUUAGGUCCUUGUCUAUGUUCCUUGGAACAGGACGUCAUAGAGGGUGAGAAUCCCGUUUGGCGAGGAUACCUUUUCUCUGUAAGACUUUUUCGAAGAGUCGAGUUGUUUGGGAAUGCAGCUCAAAGUGGGUGGUAAAUUCCAUCUAAAGCUAAAUAUUGGCGAGAGACCGAUAGCGAACAAGUACAGUGAUGGAAAGAUGAAAAGAACUUUGAAAAGAGAGUGAAAAAGUACGUGAAAUUGUUGAAAGGGAAGGGCAUUUGAUCAGACAUGGUGUUUUUUGCAUGCACUCGCCUCUCGUGGGCUUGGGCCUCUCAAAAAUUUCACUGGGCCAACAUCAAUUCUGGCAGCAGGAUAAAUCAUUAAGAAUGUAGCUACUUCGGUAGUGUUAUAGCUUUUUGGAAUACUGUUAGCCGGGAUUGAGGACUGCGCUUCGGCAAGGAUGUUGGCAUAAUGGUUAAAUGCCGCCCGUCUUGAAACACGGACCA
rnacentral:rRNA from 1 species